UACGAAGGGGGCUAGCGUUGCUCGGAAUCACUGGGCGUAAAGCGCGCGUAGGCGGACUCUUAAGUCGGUUGUGAAAUCCUGGAGCUCAACUCCAGAACUGCCUUCGAUACUGAGAGUCUCGAGUCCGGGAGAGGUGAGUGGAACUGCGAGUGUAGAGGUGAAAUUCGUAGAUAUUCGCAAGAACACCAGUGGCGAAGGCGGCUCACUGGCCCGGUACUGACGCUGAGGUGCGAAAGCGUGGGGAGCAAACGGG
rnacentral:rRNA from 1 species